ACAAUCAGCAGGGACCCUGUAAACCCCACCAGCCAGCCACACUUUAGCCCACCACAAUCUCAUUUACACCAAGAGCUCUCCCACGAUGAGUCCAAGGCUGCAGGUUUACCUGCUGCCACCCUCUCUUCCCACCAUGUGCUCUCACCACUCCACCUGGGCCCAUGUGGGCACAGUUCCAUAGCUACAGAGAAAAUGGAUGGUUUUCUGCCAUGCUAGUCCAUUACUCCAGCUCACCACCAAGUCAGGACAGGCCAGCACUGGCCCAAGCUGAGGAAGCCCCUGCAGAUGCAUCAAGCUCUGCUUUGCUGGAAUGUACCAACAGAUGCCUCAGCAUUGCCCUGCCAAACCCAUGGAUAGCAGGUUCUCAGCCCAGCACAAGCUGCCAUCAACACCGCAAUCUCUGUAGGACCAGGAUAUUUCAUAAGGAGUGUCUUGUUAGGCCUGGGGAAAGCCAGCAGAGAGAAGAAACAGCAAGAUGAAGGCGUGCUGCGGUCCUGCAAACACAGACAGCUCUUCCAGGGAGACUCACGCACCCCGGGCUCCCCGCAUCGGGCACAAACCCCGCACGCAGCCCGGGUCAAGUGACCAGAGGAUGGAGGAAGAUGAAGGAGGGGCGAGAGAAAUGAGGAAGACGAGGGAUGGGUGGUUCUGGUUAAGCCUGAAAGGCACAGAAUCAAAUCCCUCUACUCUGAUGUCCUGAUCCCUAGAGAAGCUGAAGCAACAGUGUAAACCAACACCUUUCACCAAAGAAGACAGCUCUCAGAGUGGCAUGAGAAGCAGCGACCUGGAUAGUAAAGGGGCAGCAGCAUUACCCUAGAAAAGGCAAGAUUACCAAGACAUUGUACACUGCCCACAUCUUUCCUACAGGCAGUUCGUAACUUGGAGGCAGACUAUGGGGAGGAGGGACUCUUUUUUAGCUUAAAGUCAUCACUACGGUGAAGCUGAGGGACCAAUUCUUGUGUCCUUCAGCAGCCACGAACAACACCCCACCUUCCUCCUGUGAUCAGUUCUGAAAACUAGGCAGCUGUGUCCUCAGGAACAAAUUUCCAGUACCUUUGACACUGGGCAAAGGUUGAAGUUAAGAGUGUCUGGUUCUUUAAGCAUCCAGACCUUAACUCCUGUGGUUCUCAUGUAGGUUAAGCCUUGAUUGCUCUGCGCUUAUAAUGGAUCGUUGUGAAAUAACUGUGAAUAUUCCUCUGGAGUUGAUGAGUCCUUUUCCCCUCAUGCAUUACUGAUUUGUACUGUCGACUAUAGCCUGCAACGGAGCAAGACCUUUUAAGGGCCACACUUCAGCACAGAAGUGACUCACAUAGAAUCAUAGAAUAGUUUGGUUUAGAAGGGACCUUAAAGACCAUCCAGUGCCAACCCCACUGCGAUGGGCAGGGACACCUUCCACUAGACCAGGCUGCUCAAGGUCCCAUCCCACCUGGCCUUGAAUACCUCCAGGAAUGGGGCAUCCACAAGUUCCCUGGGCAACCUGUGCCAGUGCCUCACCACCCUCAUUGUGAAGAAUUUCUUCCUAAGGUCUAAUCUAAAUCUUCCUCCUUCCAAUUUAAAUCCAUUUCCCCUCAUCCUGUCACUCCAUGCCCUUGUAAAAAGUCCCUUCCCAGCUUUCCUGUAGGCCCCCUUCAGGUACUGGAAGGCCACUAUAGUGUCUCCCCAGAGCCUUCUCUUCUCCAGGCUGAACAACCCCAACUCCCUCAGCCUGUC